rfam:Oscillibacter sp. 57_20 Ley3_66761_scaffold_1725, whole genome shotgun sequence.
CGAGGAAAACAGACAGUCGCGCGGAAGGGGCGAAAGGCCCUUCCGUGAGGAAAGUCCGGGCUCCACAGGGCAAGGAUAACGGGUAACGCCCGCCGAAGGCGACUUCAGGAAAAGUGCAACAGAGAUAUACCGCCGCCAAGGCUGCGCCAUGUUGGUAAGAAGCCGGUGUUGAUGAACGCUCCCCCAGCGGGAACCGCAGGGGUGUUGUGUGAAGAGGGACGAAGGGUCCCUCUUCGCGAUUACAAUCAUCCGCCGCAGCGACCGAUUCCGUCAGGAAUCGGCUUACCGCCAGGGCGUAGCCCUGGCGGUAAGGGUGGAAAGGCGAGGUAAGAGCUCACCCGAUGGUGCGUCAAAGCACCCAUCGCUGUAAACUCUAUCCGGAGCAACACCGGUAUGGGAGCAGGGACUUCGGGUCCCAAGGCUUGCCCGGCCGCUCCCGGGGUGGCUUGAGCGUACCGGCAACGGUACGUCGAGAUAGAUGACUGUCAAAUACAGAACCCGGCUUAUAGUUUUGCUCGCGUA